ACCAGACUCCUACGGGAGGCAGCAGUGGGGAAUAUUGCACAAUGGGGGAAACCCUGAUGCAGCGACGCCGCGUGAGUGAAGAAGUAUUUCGGUAUGUAAAGCUCUAUCAGCAGGGAAGAAAAUGACGGUACCUGACUAAGAAGCCCCGGCUAACUACGUGCCAGCAGCCGCGGUAAUACGUAGGGGGCAAGCGUUAUCCGGAUUUACUGGGUGUAAAGGGAGCGUAGACGGCAUGGCAAGUCAGAUGUGAAAGCCCGGGGCUCAACCCCGGGACUGCAUUUGAAACUGUCAGGCUGGAGUGCAGGAGAGGUAAGUGGAACUCCUAGUGUAGCGGUGAAAUGCGUAGAUAUUAGGAGGAACACCAGUGGCGAAGGCGGCUUGCUGGACGAAAACUGACGUUGAGGCUCGAAAGCGUGGGGAGCAAACAGGAUUAGAUACCCUCGUAUUA
rnacentral:rRNA from 1 species